UCCCACAUUUCACCCACUUGUGGCUUUCUCUGAGUAUUUUCUUUUUCAUUUUGCAGCAUCACUAGAAGCAUUACUCGUUUUGCAGUCUAUUUAUUAACUUCUGUCUGGCUGCUGGUGGAAGGUAAUUUACAUUUAUCAAUGGAGGACUUUACAGUAUUUGAUGUGGGGAAUAUGGCCUGCCCUCAGGAUGGCACAAAUUUGGCACAGUCUGUUAUUGCAGCCAAGUGCCGGAUGGAGUCUGCCCUCAAGUUUUGCCAUUAUCAAGACACUCGAUAAAAUGUUAACAAAGAGCACAUUAUAAAGCUAACGGGGGACAGCUGGUACAAUCUUAGCAAAGAAACAAGUGGAGAUGUCAGACAGUCAUUCUGAGUCACUGCCAAAAGCCACAAUAUGGUCAGUGAAAUUGCACUGCAUGGAUGAUUUACUUUUCUGUGAAACAAAAAGACUUGAUGACUUGGAAGAACAUAAUGGGGAGUUGUUUUCAUUGCUCUGCACUUUGACUUGUAAUCAUUUAAAUUGACAAAAACAAAUAAAAAAAACUUGCCCUAGAA